AUGACUGUUGACGGAAGAUGUAGAGGUUGAAUGAUGGAGUGAAGGUGAGGUGAGAGACGUGAGAGACCUGAGAGUCUUCUCUCCUUUCUUUUUUAUUUUCUUUUCUUUUCCUUUUUCGUUUAGUCUUGGAGAGCUUAUGAGAGGAGAGUGAGAGUUGAAUAUUUUCUCCCCUUUUUCUUUUCAGUCUCUUUUUCUUUUUUAUGUGAGAGAAAGUGGGUAGUGGUGGAAAUUAGGUGGGUGGUGGCUAGCUGUCAGCAUAGAGAAAAUCCAAUAGUAUCCCUCCGCCUUUCUUAUGACCGUUGGAGCAUAUUUUUUGUCUUUUGUGAAUGGAAAUCUUUUCCAAAUCCAAAAGGUGAGCUGGCGCGUGGCACAUGCAGACUGGUAGCAACAAUGUUUUUUUUGUUUUUUUUUUAAUUUCUUUAAUAACAUCAAAUUAAUUAAUCUAUAGUUUUGAUUGAAUAAUAAACUACACGUGGAUUGCUAACAAGGACCAUUAAUUAUUAUGAAUCGAUGAUCAGGAUCGAAUCAAAGAGGCAUAAAAAUAAUUUAAUUGUCAAAAAUAUCUAUUCUAGAUGAUUUAAUUAAUUUAAAACAAUUUAAACCAAUUAAAUCAAAUGAAAUUCACAGCUUUGGAAAUACAUGCGACAAA
rnacentral:lncRNA from 1 species